rnacentral:lncRNA from 1 species
AAUGCUAUCCCCAAUUUAAAUCUAUAUUCGAACCAAUUAACAGCACAAAUUAAAGAGUUUGGAUUUUGCAUUUUAUUUAAAGAGGCCAAGUUUUUAUGAUAUUUUGGAAUGAGAAUAGUUUGAUUAGGGGCUUUAAAAAGGAAAAAAACACUAAACGACGUGGUUUCAGUACAUUUUGGAUAAAAACUACUUUGUUCCGUUAACUAUAAGUGGAUGAAGAAUAACGAAUAAUUUAAAUUACUACCGAAUUAAAACUCCAUGAUUUAAUUAUUACAAUUAAAAUUAUAAAAUUUAAUUUCUUACCAUGACAAACUCUAAAUUUUUUACAUAAUUUUUCUACAAACAAAUAAAAUGGAAUAGUAGAGUAGUAAUUGAGAUAAUCCCCAUCAUAAAUAAGAAUCAAAAUAAUAACUGAAAUAAGCAAUAGUGAAAAUAAUAAAUGGCUAGAGUUUUUCACUCCCUUCUUUUUUUAAUUGUAUUUUUUUAUUAUAAUAAAUUUAUUCAAAUAUUUUACUAUGUAACAAAAAUAUUUAAAAUAAAAGUGAGUAUUUAAUAAAAAGUAAUGCGACAUACGGACUAUUUUUACAAAACUUUAGAUUGUCAUUAACGAGACAGGGAAAAAAGUCAAAAAAAAAAAACUAUUCAGUUCCAAGUCUUCUAUUUCUCUCCCUACCAAUCUUCCUCCUUUCUCUCUCUUAUGAGCCUAGAUAACAUUGAACUUGCCACCGGCCAGCCACCAUCGUGAUGCUUGUUUUUUACCGACAGCUACAUGAUUGCCGCCGCCGACACGAGAUAGGUGGGUGUAUGUCCAACCCAUCAUCAAGCACUCCGUUUUCACCAUUGAAUGAAUCCUUGCUUGAACACUUUGGACCGAGUGAAACUGAGUCGAAACAAAAUUGAGGAAAAAAAAAGUAAUUGAGGAGCAGAGAGUGGCAAGUGAGGAUAGAGAGAUUCACUCACAUUGGGUGCUGCUAUACAAUCAGAAAAAAAGAGCAUAAAUAUGGACCGAAUUGAUGUGGAUACUUACCCAAUUCCCUAUUAAAAAAGAGUUUUAACAAAAAAAACUCUUGAGAAGAUAAUAAAUGUAGACCUUUAAGAAAGUUCUACACAAAAAAAACUCUUAAAAGAUAUUAAUGCGUCUUCACCAUUUUCAAUAUCUAAUGUGUCUCUUUAGUAUCCAAUCUGAUUCAACUACAAACCCUUUCGUCUCUUUGCCUCUUCUUACAAUUUUUCCUUUAUUCGAACACAGUCUGGAAUUCUUUUUACUAAUUGAUUAUAACUAUCCAUUUUUCAAUUGCUCUUAAUGUGUGAUAUUAUCCUUAAAAAUUUGAUCUACUUAAAAAAUAUACUUAAAGACAUUUUUUCUAUUUUCAUUAAAAAUUAACUUUUGUUUUUAUUUUUAUUAGUUUUUUUUUUGGUUAUAUAAUUGUGUUAUUGUUUGGCAAUGACUAGCCACGAUUAUCUAAUAAUAAUCAUUUUAUACUCUGUUUGCAACCUUAAAAGAGAAAAAAUUAGAAAAAUAAUUUACUUUCCUUCCUUGUUUGGGGGAAAGAAAAAAAUAUAUCAAUGAAAACUAAGCAUAAAAUUUCACAUAACUUGAAUGAAACUAGCUUUGUUUGGUCUAAUUUUAUGUUGAGUUUUUAUUUAUUUUGAUUUUUAAUUUUUUUAUUUUUAUCGAACUUGUUAAUUAUUUGAUAUUUUUUAUACUUUUUUGAUUUUUUUGAUGAGAAAAGUUAAAAAAAUAUAAAAUAAUUUCUAAUUUGGAAAAAAAUCCAUUAAAACGAAGAAAAUUUAUUUUAGAUAGUUUCUUUGUUUUUAGUAUUUUUUUAAUAAAUUUAAACAAAUUUUUAACAUUUUUUUAGAUUUCUCUCGUCAAAAAAAACUAAAACCUUUAAAAUUUUUAUGAAGGGUAAAACAAAAUUACAAAAAAAAUUCAAAACUAAAAAAGUAAUAAAGAUUGUCAUUGUAAUAUUUUUUAGAAUCUUGAAGUAUGAAAGAGAGGUAUAAAUGGGAGAGAGAAAUUUUAGUAAUAAGAGAGACAAAGUUUGAGAGUAAAUAGGUGAGAGAAAUGAUGUAAUGAGUUGAGGUUUUGGGAGAGAGAAAGAGUCCAACUGUAUUUGCCACUAUAUUGCCACAUCAUUCUGUAAUUUUUUCUGUAUCAUUUGUUCGGAGAAUAACAUUUUCCUACUCAAAUUAGGCGUUUUGUGAGGUUGGUUACUGAUGUGUUUGGCUUUGAGACGUGGCUGUUUAUUAGUUUGCCAAGGUGUGAAUCCACGUAAGUGCAUAGAUUAAUGGCUAAUUUGUCUGACACAGUAAUUUUUUAAACUUUAUUUUCAAAAUGGGGUCGGUUUUAACUUAUUUUCAGAAUCCGUGGAGAACGCUUUUUAAAAAAGCGUUUUUAUUUUGUAUAAAUACCAUAUAUCUGAACAGAGAAAAAAACGUUAUGUGAAAAAGCGUUUUUGUUAAAAAUUAGCGUUUAAUGAAAACGCUAUUUGGAAAAGCGUUUUUAACAUUUUGUAAAUAAAUAUAUAAACUGGGCAUAUUUAAUUUGAAUGAGUUGGGUGGUGUAGUGGUCAUAAAAGGAAUUUUAAGUUUUCAUCAUGAGUUAUGUCCUACUUCAAAUUUUCUCAACAACACCUUUUAUUUUAUUUUUUAAUUUAUUUUUUAUUUUUUUUUCCUAGUUUUCAAAUAUACAACUUAAUAUUUUUUUUAACUAAUUUUAAUUUAUAUUUGUUUUUAUUAUUUUCUCUAAUUUUCAAUGUUUUAUUAAUAUUUUUAUAACGUAAAAAUGAAAAAAAAUUUAAAAAUAUAAAUUGUUUCUUUUUGGGGGGACACAGACCUCACUCUUUCAAUUCCAUCCUCCCGCGUUUCCUCUUUUUUUAUUUUUCCUUUCUCCCCCUCUUCGUCCCCCUUCCCCUUCGCGCCCUCCUCCCCCCCUCCCCUUCCCCCUUCGUCCCCCCCCUCUCCCUUGUCUCUUUUUCCCCUUCGUCCCCGCCGUCCCUCCUCUCCCUUCCCGCUCUCCCCCGCCCCCCCCGCUCCCCUUCCUUUUUGCGCCGGUUUGCCUCUCGGCCCUCGCCCCUGCCCCCUCCCUUCCGCUUCUUUUCAUGCCCCCCCCCCCCUCCGCUCCUUCCCCUCCGUGCUUCCCUUUGUGUGUGUGUAUUUACUUAUCCCCGUCCCCCCCUCUUUAUUUCCCCCCCCCACCCAACGCUAUUCCCCACGUCGCACGCAAAACGCUUAUGGCAAUAGCGUAGUUGUGGGGCUGGUCAGAUAUACGGUAGUCAAUAUAUAAAUAAAAACACUUUGUCAAAAGCGUUGUUCUACGGGUUCCGAAUAAGUUUAAAACUGUGUCCGUAACAAUUAGCCUAGAAUUAUUGGCGUAAGAUUUUUUUUUGGUAAAUUACGUGUCCUCCCAUAAGGUUUAUGACAAUCCCAGAGACCCGGCCAUACACUUCGUACUGAAAAUGUAUUUCACCAGCCUUCUUGGUUCAUAUUUGUAUUUCAAAUGCCCACUUUCAGUUUAGUUGGGCACCGUUCAAUAGGUUAUAGAUAAAUUUGGAACCAGGCAACUUAUUACAUUUUUUUUCCAAUUUUGUCCCUUGAUACUUCUAACCCGACAAAACUAAAGGUACUUCUAAACGCAAACCAAAAAGAUCUCAAUACCACAAAAUUGGUGCAAUACAUACGUCUCAGUACACCCCAAUUAUCUAACAAUUUUCCUAAAUUUGGGUAUAAUUUUUUUUUCUUUAUGUUUUUUUUGGCUAAAAAUCUUGGUAUGUAUGGGUAUGUUUGGGUUAAUUUAUUUUGGCUAAGUUAUGAGAGUUGAUGAAAGUUUAUUUGGGGUAAGUUUUUUUUUUCCACUAUACCUUUUUAAUUUAACGGUGAAACAAAACAAAUUUUUUGAGCUAGUCUAAACAGGUCCUCGUCAAAAAAAAAAAGACAAUGGUAGUGAUUCGCCUUAUUUCAAUUCGAUUUGUUGAAGAGAAGGAAAUGAUUAUAUGUGGCAGGUGCCAUUUUAGAAAAGGCAAAUGAUGUGUCAACCAAUCAAAGCAAGGGCAAAAAGGUAAAAAAGCACUCUUAGUUAACGUCGCAUACCGACAAGCCUCUGUUAGGGGAGAAUAGUGUAAUUAUUUUUUAAGAAGUUAAAUACUAUACAGUUAAACAAUUCAGCCAUUCUGGCACAUCAAAAGCAAUCCAAAUCCUUCUCCUCCUCUGGACUUUCCUCUUGCAUAUUUUCAUACCGUAAGAGAGACAACAUCACUGUUUGUUGGUUCGUCAGGCUCAUUACUAUAGUGUUAUAUCAUUGAGAUUCCGACCAUUGUAUCCUGGGAGAUAGAGUCCAUUAAAUCCGAUGGCACCAGUGCGGAGAAUCAUCUGUCUUAAGAACACUAUAUUGAAUAUAGGCCUCAAUCCAUCAUUUCCAUAUUCUGAUCUCCAAACAUAAAAGUUCUGUAAGUUUAUUUUUGUUCUUUCUGAUUAUUAUUAAUUUAAUUUCAAAUUAGUCUCUGACAAUUUUCACACAUUGCACAUAAAAUUGUCCAAUAGAAAACACCUAUAAAAUGAGGCAUGAAGCUUUCUUUGGGGUGUGGUUAUGUCAGUACCCACUUGGUUGUGGUGGCAAGAAAACCCACUGCCAAGUGGGUUGCCAGCUGUGGCAUAUAAUGUGUCUCACAUAUAAUUAUAUGGUGAGCGUUUGGGCGAUGUCCUAUAGUAUGCCAUAUAAAUUGGUGUGGUAAUAUUGUUGUAAAAUUAGUAUUUUUUAUGACUGGAAUGUUUUAAAAUUCAAUAUUUAAACUUUAGAAUAUAUUUGACGAGAACGUUCAUUUUGUAAAUUAUGCCAAGAAAACCAUCCAUAAAAUCAAGUUGACGUAAUCGUGUGUCCAAUCACAUUUCCUAUAGUAGACCUUCUAUCUAAUAGAGAUCCAGUCCAAUCGAAAUUGGUGAACGCCUACAUAAAUGACCAUGCACUCCAUAGAACAAACAAAGACCAGAAUGCACCUUAA